AGCCCCACGGCGGGGGGGGGGGGGCGGCCCCAUAGGGCUCGGGUGUGGGGCAGCCCCAUAGAAUGUGUGGGGCAGCCCCAUAGAAUGUGUGGGGCAGCCCCAUAGCGAGAUGUGGGGCAGCCCCAUGGGGCUCAGAUGUGGGGCAGCCCCAUAGAAUGUGUGGGGCAGCCCCAUAGAAUGUGUGGGGCAGCCCCAUAGAAUGUGUGGGGCAGCCCCAUGGGGCUCAGUUGUGGGGCAGCCCCAUAGCGAGGAGGUGUGGGGCAGCCCCAUGGUGGCUCAGAUGUGGGGCAGCCCCAUGGGAUGGAGAUGUGGGGCAGCCCCAUAGAAUGUGUGGGGCAGCCCCAUGGGGCUCAGUUGUGGGGCAGCCCCAUGGGAUGGAGAUGUGGGGCAGCCCCAUGGGACCGACGUGUGGGGCAGCCCCAUAGGACCGACGUGUGGG